rnacentral:rRNA from 1 species
AAAACUUUCAACAACGGAUCUCUUGGUUCUCGCAUCGAUGAAGAACGCAGCGAAAUGCGAUACGUAAUGUGAAUUGCAGAAUUCCGUGAAUCAUCGAAUCUUUGAACGCACAUUGCGCCCUUUGGUAUUCCAAAGGGCAUGCCUGUUUGAGCGUCAU